UACAGAGGGUGCAAGCGUUGUCCGGAAUCACUGGGCGUAAAGGGCGCGUAGGCGGCCCGAUAAGUAGGGGGUGAAAUCUUGCGGCUCAACCGCAAGGCUGCCUUCUAGACUGUCGGGCUUGAGCACAGUAGAGGCAGGUGGAAUUCCCGGUGUAGCGGUGGAAUGCGUAGAGAUCGGGAAGAACAUCGGUGGCGAAGGCAGGUCUCUGGGCCGCAACUGACGCUGAGGAGCGAAAGCAUGGGGAGCGAACAGG
rnacentral:rRNA from 1 species